AGUCAGCUGAGGAGUCCCAUAAUAGGAUGAAACGGCCGUCCAGU
rnacentral:hammerhead_ribozyme from 1 species